rnacentral:sRNA from 1 species
GGACUAUAUAUAUUUUGUUUAUCAUAAAUGUUUUCGGUUUUAAGCUCUAUUUCCAUAAAAAAAAUGUUGUGCAAAAUAAGUUAAAUUUAAUUGUUUGAUUGCCGUGGUGUGUUGUAUGUAGUAUGGUGAAUACGAAAUGUAAACAAACUUCUACGGUCAGUGAAAGUGAGAGAGCGCGAGAGUUGGCAAUUAUAAGAUGUGUACGAUAAAUGUACUGAAGAAGAGAAGUGUCAUUGAGAAUUAUGUUAAUAUGUACAUUGUGAAAAAUAUAUAAAAAAGCGUAUGAAGAAAAUAAUGUUAGAUUGUUGUGAAUUAAGUUACAUUGAGUUUUGUGAAUAUCUGUGUUAGUGUUUAAGGCGUACUGAGAGAAUUAAGUGAUUAAUACGAAAAACUAGAAAAUAAUGCUAUUGAUUAAAUAAAGUUGGCCGUACUUGGAGUUUGUAUUUGAAAGCGGGAACUUUUAACAUGUGCUAUUGUGAAUGUUAUGUGAAAACAGAUUAUACUACAGGAAAAAAAUCACUUGAACUCAAAAUCAACAACUAAAGGUAUGAAAUUUUUUUUACUAAUUAUCUCCUAAAAGCAGGCAACAUUUUUCGUUUUUUUUUUUCAAUAUUCCCCUUUGAUAUAAAAAUUUUGAAAUAUAUUUAUGAUAUAACCAUCAAAUUCAAUUUUCUACAUAAAGUUAUUGUUAAAAACUACUCUUACCAAUAUUCCUAUUACUCACACCAAAGGCAAUUUUAUUUUAUUAUUUCCCAUCA